UACUGUGUAACACUUUGAGACUGUCUGAUCUCAUCUGAUCACAUCUGAUCUCUUUUACUAAGCAAGGCUGGACCUGGUUAGUACUUGGAUGGGAGACUGCUGGGAAUAGCAGGUGGCGCAGUGG
rnacentral:rRNA from 1 species